rnacentral:rRNA from 1 species
UGGGGAAUCUUGCGCAAUGGGCGAAAGCCUGACGCAGCGACGCCGCGUGAGUGAUGAAGGCCUUCGGGUUGUAAAGCUCUGUGGAGAGGGACGAAUAAGUCGGAGCGAACAGCUCCGAUGAUGACGGUACCUCUUUAGCAAGCACCGGCUAACUCUGUGCCAGCAGCCGCGGUAAGACAGAGGGUGCAAACGUUGUUCGGAAUUACUGGGCGUAAAGCGCGUGUAGGCUGCUUCGCAAGUCGGGUGUGAAAGCCCUGGGCUCAACCUAGGAAGUGCACUCGAAACUGCGGAGCUUGAGUCUCGGAGAGGAUCGCGGAAUUCUCGGUGUAGAGGUGAAAUUCGUAGAUAUCGAGAGGAACACCGGUGGCGAAGGCGGCGAUCUGGACGAUGACUGACGCUGAGACGCGAAAGCGUGGGGAGCAAACAGGAUUAGAUACCCUGGUAGUCCACGCCGUAAACGAUGUCAACUAGCUGUUGGUCUUAUG